ACUCCUACGGGAGGCAGCAGUGGGGAAUAUUGCACAAUGGGCGCAAGCCUGAUGCAGCCAUGCCGCGUGUGUGAAGAAGGCCUUCGGGUUGUAAAGCACUUUCAGUCGUGAGGAAGGUAGUGUAGUUAAUAGCUGCAGUAUUUGACGUUAGCGACAGAAGAAGCACCGGCUAACUCCGUGCCAGCAGCCGCGGUAAUACGGAGGGUGCGAGCGUUAAUCGGAAUUACGUGGGCGUAAAGCGCAUGCAGGUUGGUUUGUUAAGUCAGAUGUGAAAGCCCGGGGCUCAACCUCGGAAUAGCAUUUGAAACUGGCAGACUAGAGUACUGGUAGAGGGGGUAGAAUUUCAGGUGUAGCGGUGAAAUGCGUAGAGAUCGUGAAGGAAUACCGGUGGCGAAGGCGGCCCCUGGACAGAUACUGACACUCAGAUGCGAAA
rnacentral:rRNA from 1 species